rnacentral:other from 1 species
UACAGCCUGGGAUGUUCGACAGCCUUGUUUAAUUUGAACCUACAUUUUAUUAUACGGGAUGCCAAAAUGAUCUGUGAGGAUGACAAGCCUCUAACUUUGAAUUGGUAGUCAGAGACACGACUGAGGAAACCCACCUGGCUGAAGCUAGGGCGUCAAAUCAACAGGGAACGGCACUCCGGGUGAUGU